UCUUAUAAAUUCUCUCAAUACUCACAAUUCUCUCAAAUUCUCUCAAAUUCUCUUCUCUCAAGUCUCAAAUUUUCUCAAUACUCAAAAUUCUCUCAAAUUCUCUUAAAUUCUCUCAAUUUUCUCAAUCCACGCAAUUCUUUCUUAAUUCUCCCAAUUAAUCCACUCAAUUCUCUCAAUCCACUCAAAAAAUGACAAGUGGAAGUCGAGUGCCAACUGGCAAAGGUAAGAAUAUCAUGACGGAAUCCCAUCAUUCUUUUGAUCCUCGUGAAUAUGCAGAUUUUCAAGAGGAUGAAAUCAACAUUUUUCCCGAUAUGGAGCGCGUCCCGACGCAAGAAAGUUUUCAUCCUCCUGCCGAAAUAUCUACAACAAAGGAAGCAGAAUGGGAAUUUACAUCUGACAUUUGGAAUCACUUCACGAAAAUGGAAAGGUUUGAUAUUGGUAAAAAAAGGUAUGAUAUAAUUUGUAAAUAUUGUGGGAAAAUAUAUAAAUAUACAGGUGGACAAAGAUAUGGAACAUUUAAACGACAUCUUAGGAGCAAACAUCCAACCGAAACGGGAAUCGAUAUCGGGCAACAACAAAUUUCCGGUUGCGGUCGAACAAGCAUUCAGUGCCGGAGGUAAUAUUUUGGACGAACAUCGUUCAAGAUUAGCUCCAGAAUCAGUGGAGAUUCAAGCUUGUGUUGCUGAUUGGACGAAGGCUCAAUACCGGCAACAAGAGAUAGAUCGGAAUAAUGAAUCCGAAUUCUUUAACGACGAAGAUACUACCGCUACUGGUACCGGUACCGGUACUGGAACGGGUAGUGACGAUUGAGGGUAAAAGAACUAUUGGAGUUGGUAAAUAUUUCGGGAACCCUUGUUUCUCAUACCGGGUACGCCCACGUGAGCUUAGGGAAACCGAAGUAUAAUCCGACGACAUGUGACCUCUGGUCCCCUGCGCACGGAAUGCUUAGGUUUUGGGAUCAUUUUAGGGCAUAUAUAUUGUGCUCCUUUUUUUUAUAGAUCGUUGUAACGAAUUGUAAUGUGCUUAAUGAUAAUUUAUUAAGUUCAA